GUUAAUGUUUUAAGAAAAAAUUGGCAUCCCCAAGUAUACAUCAAAUUAUGUUGGUAGAAGGGUAUACUGUAGAGGAAAAAGCUUGUGGUUUUAAAAUUUCUUACAGAUUAACCACACCCAGGGCACACGGUGUUACCUUCCCUUUUGAAAGCUAUAGUAUUGACCUAAGUGUUUCUGUUUAGGCAGGCAGUGUAUUUCCAGAUUGACUUUUGCUUGCCUGGCUGCUGCUAUAAAUUGUUAGGAGUUAAAAUGACAUCCAGCCUGACCUGAGGAGAUACCUACUAAUGCACCAUCUUCCUUGUGUGCCCAUUAAAAAGUGAGGUCUCAAAUUUUUACCCACUAAUUCUGACUCACUCAGAAUUUACAUUAAAUUUAGACUCAUAAUUAACAUUAAAUUCUGACUCACUCAGAGGCUAACAUUAAACUCUUCUCAUAAGUGACUUUUACAAGCUGAAUUGUGUUCCCCAAAAAUUCAUAUGUUGAAGUCCUAGCCCCAAUACCUCAACUCUGACUGUAUUGGAAGACAGGGCCUUUAGAGGUGAUUAAGGAAAAUGAGGUCAUACGGGUGAAACCAAAUCCAACAUGACUAGUGUCUUCAUAAGAAGAAAUUGGGACACAGACAUGCACAGAAGAAAGACCAUAUGAAGGCACAGGGACAAGAUGGCCACCUACAAGCCAAAAAGGGAGGCCUCAGAAGAAACCAAUCCUCCCCACACGUUCAUCUGAGACUUCCAGCUCCAGGACUGUGACGAUAAAUUCCUGCUGUUUAAACCACACAGUCUGUGGUAC
rnacentral:lncRNA from 10 species